GCCCGGUUAGCUCAGUCGGUAGAGCGUGGGACUUUUAAUCCUAAGGUCGAGGGUUCGAGCCCCUUACCGGGCG
rnacentral:tRNA from 1 species